UGUGACUUUGGUGGAAUGUUGUUUGCUAAUGAUGAACAUGAGUGUGUAGCCAUGCUGCUAAAACCAUGUUGCUGUUUGAAAUCCCAUAAACAUGCUCAGAAAUCCAUUGCAUUGUGAUGCGUGUUUGGUUUAUUGUGUUUGGUGUUGCAUAAUUGCUAUUUGCCAUGCUGUAUGUGGAAUGCUGUCGGAUUUUAUUAUGAUGAUUACAUGAUGAUGUUGGUUGUCUGCUGUUGUUUCUAAAACCAUAGAACAG
rnacentral:lncRNA from 1 species